rnacentral:lncRNA from 1 species
GUUGCCCCUGCCACAGUCUGGGCAGUGGAUGGUCUUGGAGCUCCCAGUGAUGUGGUGAUGAGUCCAUGGCACCCCAGUCUUCCUUUUCUUGGCCUUCCAGACCCAAGCAGGGACAGUCCAUGUUUUAUAAAAACUUGUUUCAACUGUAAAAGUCAUCCUCUUCAUGGCAUGAAGCCUGAGAAACCAAGAAGAAAAAGACGCCCUGGAGCAGGGGCUAUGUCUCAGUUGCCUGCAUCUACAGCGCCUAACAAGUGUCAGCCCUUCGAGGAGCUCUAUAGAUGUUCACGAGGAGUGCAUUUUUUGGAGACCCACAAGAAUUCAUUGCACAAGAAUCUCCACUGCUGUGCUGCUCCCAGAGAUCAGGGCAUUGCCCACUGGUCAGAAACACUGGGCGCUCUGCAGAAUACUCCAGUGGGUGCAGUGAGGUCAUUGAAAAUUGUCUGUGGAACACCGAUGUACAGCAUCACUCACUGAAAACUGUCAAACACUGAUGUCCAGCAUUACAACACUCAGAAGGCAGAAAUAACAGCUACCAUGCACCAGUAGAAGGAUGGAUGAACAAAAUGGG